rnacentral:lncRNA from 1 species
AUUCUGCAAUGAUGAAGGGGGAUGAUUGAAAAGAGCUGGACUAAAUUGGUCUAACUAGGACACUUGAAGGCUUGUGAAUCAGUUCACACGAUCAGUGUGAAAAGCGGGUAUGAAGACCCAGAUGCUGGUGUGUACGUGUGCAUAUAAGCCCCAACAGCUAGAAAUCAAGCCUUUCUGGCUUCCGAUUGUUGGAGAAGUGGAAACAGUUAAUGGAGUAUGCAAUGAGUUCUGGCGGUCAGAAGUCCAAAAUGGGUCUUACACGACUAAAAUCCAGAUGUCGACAGGGAGGAAGAACUGAGGAUCCUACAUCAUGUUAGGGAGCAGCAAGAGCACUGUAGUAAGACAUAACCCUCCUUUGCCUCUCUAUGUCCUCUGCCCCAUGCUGCUUAUGUCCUUAUUGAAGUUAAGAGUCCGGCUGUCAUUGAGAACCUCUGAUACUGCACCAUUUGAUGAAGGGCUAUGAAAAAUUCCCCCGAGAACAGCAAUGCACACUGAUCCUACCAGCUCAUUCACUAGAAUACACUUUCUAAAGCCAAUACUAAUGGCUGUAGGCAAAUAGAGCAGGACGGUCAAGAUACCUCUACCCACUUCAUUCUACGCAUAGACUGUCUGGUUCUCUGAGGUCACAGCAGUAUAAUCUUAAGGUGACCAUUAAGAUCUGAUUGACACAUUUUCAGGAUUUAAAGUAAAAUUAAAAGAACGUGGAAGGCAGCUGUUUGUGGCACUGUAACAGAUAGCCAUGUUUACGAAAACAAAUUCAAGUUGAGCAAUGAUCUGGCAGAUUUUGUUUGCCAGGGAGGACCAUUGAGCCAAUGGGACCCACAAUUUUCCCACUUCAAGAGAUUUUUUUUUUCUCAAUGACAUUAUAUAACUGAUUCAGAUAU